CCUACGGGGGACUGCAGUGGGGAAUAUUGGACAAUGGGGGCAACCCUGAUCCAGCCAUGCCGCGUGUGUGAAGAAGGCCCUCGGGUUGUAAAGCACUUUCAGUGAGGAAGAACGCCUGGUGGUUAAUACCCAUCAGGAAAGACAUCACUCACAGAAGAAGCACCGGCUAACUCCGUGCCAGCAGCCGCGGUAAUACGGAGGGUGCGAGCGUUAAUCGGAAUUACUGGGCGUAAAGCGCGCGUAGGUGGCUUGAUAAGCCGGUUGUGAAAGCCCCGGGCUCAACCUGGGAACGGCAUCCGGAACUGUCAAGCUAGAGUGCAGGAGAGGAAGGUAGAAUUCCCGGUGUAGCGGUGAAAUGCGUAGAGAUCGGGAGGAAUACCAGUGGCGAAGGCGGCCUUCUGGACUGACACUGACACUGAGGUGCGAAAGCGUGGGUAGCAAACAGGAUUAGAUACUCCAGUAGUC
rnacentral:rRNA from 1 species